CCAGGAUUAAGUCUCUGUGUGUUUUUGCAUCUUCCUUUAGAAGAAAUGAACAACCACAAGCGGCAGCAAAACCUCUGCAGCUGCAUUCUGCACAAAUUUGGCACCACCACUUCUAUGCAACACAAUUUGGAUGCUGAAUCCAGGCUGGGUUUGGGGGGGGGGGGGGAGGAGAGACACUCACCACACGAAAGCGCCGCCACAGAGACGAGGACGGCCCAUCUGCAGUCCCGUGCACCUGACAUGGCAGAAAUCCCAGCGGGGCGGGGUGUUACAAUCCCAGUUGGUCCGGUGGCCGGCGGUGGGGAAAUCAAACCGCUCCCCCUGCGGGUGUCUUGAGUCCACGCGGUGAGCUCCUGCGGCUCCUCCGAGGCAGGGGUCGUGGGUGGUCUCGAGUUGGAGCGCUGCGCGUAUCUGCACGAUGCGGGGCUCCUCGAGCGCGCGCCUCUCCGGCUACAGUGUUGCGCGUAUGAGACGGAAAACCCGCAAAGACGGCGGCAGAAGAAAGUUACAGGGCCCGGUGACCGACUUCCGGUCUUGUCCAUACUGACUAUGUUGAACUUGAUGUUUCCCAAACCGGCCAUCGCAGACAAAUCUAUCACAGGAACCUGGAGCAACCCGCUGUGAUCUGCUGGACGUGGCGGUGUUUCUGCAGCGUCGGUGGACGUGAUGUGGCACGCGUCACAGGGGAAGGACAAUGUUUCUACCCACUGACCAGCAGGGGGCGACUCCUCCGGUUCCAUAGACGUCUAUGAGAAAAGGACUCUACUUAUCUUUCUAUUUACUCCCUCACUAAACAUUGUAAACAUGAGUUUACCGUCUCAACAUGUAGUCUUCUCGAAAGAUGGUCCAUUUAGAGUGAAACCGACCACAAAGCAGGACGCGCUUCAGGGCUCAGAGCUUUUAAAUGCUGCAGAUGCUGCGGCAACACACUCGGCCUGCAGACACACCUCUUCCGUACCAUGAAACACGAGAACUACACACUUUUCUUUACUUCUCAGAGGGAAAUGUUCUGCUUGCAUGCGUGUGACGUGUUGUGAUAUUGCUGUCCUGACCAGGAAGCACGUGCGUGUUCAGGUGAAUCUUCAGAGCUGAAUGCUGGAAUGUGAAGAAUGAAAUGGGUGGGGGUGAAAACAGC
ensembl:lncRNA